AUACGGAGGAUGCGAGCGUUAUCCGGAUUUAUUGGGUUUAAAGGGUGCGUAGGCGGGCUGUUAAGCGUGAGGUGAAAGCUCGGGGCUCAACCCCGGAACUGCCUCGCGAACUGGCGGUCUUGAAUGUCCGUGCCGUGGGAGGAAUGUGUGGUGUAGCGGUGAAAUGCAUAGAGAUCACACAGAACACCGAUUGCGAAGGCAUCUCACGAACGGAUGAUUGACGCUGAGGCACGAAAGCGUGGGGAUAGAACAGGAUUAGAUACCCUGGUAUUCCACGCCGUAAACGAUGAUGACUAACCGUCGGCGAUAGACAGCCGGUGGCCAAGCGAAAGCGAUAAGUCAUCCACCUGGGGAGUACGUCGGCAACGAUGAAACUCAAAUGAAUUGACGGGG
rnacentral:rRNA from 1 species